rnacentral:lncRNA from 1 species
GUUGUUCUCGUAUAGAAGAAGAAAACUCUUAAGCGAUAUAUUUUAUUUCAACAAGUUUUCUUUACUUUUGAUAUGAAUGUCUCUUUUGGUAAUUUUACGUACCCACAAAGUCUUAUAUAAUUUGUAUAAAAAAAGAUAUGUGUAUCUAGCAUUUAGGGAUGUGUUAAUAAAAUUUCUCAAGAAAGUAAAAAAAUAAGCACACAAAACAUAACUAACUAACUAGAACAAUUUUUUUUUCUUUUUCCUUUUAUCAAAAAUAAACAAAACAAAAACAAAUAUGCUAAAGUGACCUAGGAUUAAGGCUAUUAAACCAUAAUCCCCGGCAACAGCGCCAUUAAUUUGAAGAAAAUGAGAAAGCGAAGUCAGUGUCGUAUUCAUUCUUUUAUUUAUACGGUUCAGAAGACAAGCCAGGUUUAAUGAGAACUUCAAAUGGAGUGGCUUUAUUUAUACGAUUGGUAUAGGACGCGGCCAUGUAAAUGAUGUAAUUGAUAGUGAAGGUGCUGGUGAAGGUAACUUCACGAGAAUCAUGCUUGAAACUUGAAAGUAAGAGUCAUCAUGCUUGUUAAUAUUCGUUGUCUAAUUUUUGAGCUCUGAUCCCAAAAUAAAAAAUAAAAAAUGGCACGUGUGACAUGAGCGGGAAUCAAAUUGAAUCGCAAAUAGAGACGUUGCUGGAUUGACUUCGAUGGAUGAUCACGGUUUCUACGGCGUAAUGGGUUCGAGGACU